UAAUACAAAAAUUAGCCAGGCGUGGUGGUGUGCACCUGUAGUCCCAGCUACUCGGGAGGCUGAGGCAGGGGAAUCGCUUGAACCUGGGAGGCGGAGGUUGCAGUGAGCUGAGAUCGCACCACUGCACUCCAGCCUGGGUGACAGAGCGAGACUCUGUCUCAAAAUAAAUAAAUAAAUAAAUAAAAAGGAGACACGGAUGCAGAGGAGAAGGCCAUGUGGAGACGGAGGCAGAGAGUGGAGUGAUAUGGCCACAAGCCCAGGGACCCCAGAGUCCCCAGGAGCUGGGAGAAGCGGGAAGGAUCCUCAUUAGUCCAUGAAAAUGGACUAAUACAGGAGGACGGAGAUAGAAACAGACAGGGAGAGACAGAGAGAGAGAAAGAGAUACAAAGAGACACAGAGAGGGGAGACAGAGAGAGGGAGAGAGAAAAACAGAGACAGAAAAACAGACAUAGACAGAGAUAGUGGGUGAUGGACAGAGAGAGACAGAUAGAAACAGAGAGAGACAGAGAUACAAAGAGACACAGAGAAGGGAGACAGAGGGAAAAAGAAAGAAAAACAGAAACAGACAGAGACAAAGAGACAGAGUAGGUGAUGGACAGAGAGAGACAGAGAUAGAAACAGACAGGGAGAGACGGAGAUACAAAGAGACACAGAGAGGGGAGACAGAGAGGGAAAGAGAAAAAGAGACAGAAAAACAGAGAGACAUAGACAAAGACAGACAGAGUGGGUGAUGGACAGAGAGAGAGACAGAAACGGAGAGACAGAAAGACAUAGAUACAAAGAGAGAGGGAAAGAGAAAAACAGAAAAACAGAAACAGAGAGACAUAGAGAGACAAAGAGACAGAGUGGGUGAUGGACAGAGAGAGACAGAGAUAGAAACGGAGACAGAGAGAGAGAGACAGAGAUACAAAGAGACAGAGAGAGGGAAAGAAAAACAGAGACAGAGAGGAAAACAGAAGCAGAGAGACAGAGAGAGUGGGUGAUGUAGUUUGGCUGUGUCCCCACCCAAAUCUCAUCUUGAAUUGUAGCCCUUAUAACUCCCACGUGUUGUGAGAGGGACUGGGUAGGACAUAACUGAAUCAUGGGGGCAGUUUCCCCCCACACUGUUCUCGGGGUAGUGAAUAAGUCUCACGAGAUCUAAUGGUUUAAUAAGGGAAACCUUUCUCUCGGCUCUCAUUUUUUUUUUUUUUUUUUUUUUCUCGAGACGGAGUCUCACUCUGUCACCCAGGCUGGAGUGCAGUGGCGCGAUCUCAACUCACUGCAACCUCUGCCUCCCGGGUUCAAGCGAUUCUCCUGCUUCAGCCUCCCGAGUAGCUGGGACCACAGGCGCCUGCCACCACCACGUCUGGGUGCUGUGAUUACAGGCAUGAGUCACUGCGCCCGGCGACUGUCUCAUUCUGUCUUGCCCGCUGACAUGUAAGACAUGCCUUUCCUCCUCCUUCACCUUCUGCCGUGAUCGUGAGGCCUCCCCAGCCACAUGGAACUAUACUUCAAAUUACUUCUCCUAUGCAUUUGGAGAGCGGGAGAGAAAAACACCAGGAAGGAAGAGGGAACAAAGAAACUCUACAGGCAGAGACACAGGACUGAGCCGCGUUGGGGGCACUGGGAGGAGUGAGCCUUGGGGUUGCACCCUCGGAGCCCCACUGUCCUGGGAGCAGCCUUCAGAACCACCCUUUUGUUCUCUGAAGUACCAGGCGUUCAGCUUUUCCAAGGACUGGCAGCUGCACAUCUUUGUCCCUGCCCCUUCCAUCUCUAGGCUCAGCCCCGCUGGGCAGCCUGGCCCACUCCCCACCCCUGCCCAGGGCCAACCCCUACUUCCCAUGCCCCCUCUGCCCACCUGCAGCACACUGGAGCCUUGGAGGCCCUCUCUGCAUCAUUCAAGAUGCAGACUCCUACACUUUGACCUGCACACAUCCUCCUGAAGCUUCCACUUCCUGGCCCCUGCCUGGCUUCUCACCUCCCCCACCUCCGCCCCCCAGGGGAUGUGCCGCCUCUCCCAGUGGCCCAGGACAUCCUCCACUUCCCGGGAACCCCAGGCACUUCCACAUCCUCAGACACAGUGAGAAGAUGACCCUCUCUCCAAGCCAGGAAGAGACCUCCCGAGGAGCCCAGCCAGCCAGCACGCUGACCUCCAACGUCCAGCCUCUGGAAAUGGGAUACCGAAGGCUGCGCUCCUGCCCCGCACCAGGAUGUGGGAACUUUGAGAACCGCUGGAGAGUCGAGAGAUGUCAUCGAAACGACACCCGAU
rnacentral:lncRNA from 1 species